AACUGUUCGGCCGUGGCCCGUGGCUAUGAACUCGAUCCGGGCUGACGAGCGGGAUUCACAUCAACGGCAGGCAGAUGUGGACCCCAUCACCAGGUCGUCGCGUCGUCUCCUCCGCUCCCGCCACUCUACUGCUCCGCCUCCUCCUCCUCGCCGGCGCCGCCGACGCCGCGCCACCUCUCGUUGGCGUUUCGCCCCAAGAUGAGGCGUACUUCGCGACCCAGGUGAUCGCCUGCAGGGACGGCUCGGGCUCCUUCCCGAGGAGCCGGCUCAACGACGGGUACUGCGACUGCGCCGAUGGGACCGACGAGCCAGGUACCUCGGCUUGUCCAGAAGGCAAGUUUUACUGCAGAAAUAUUGGAGACACCCCUCAUUUGUUGUUCUCUUCGUUUGUGAAUGAUAAAAUAUGUGAUUGCUGUGAUGGAAGUGAUGAGUAUGAAAGUGGCGUCCAUUGUCAGAACACGUGUCGAAAUAGAAAUGAUAUUGCUGAGGCUGAUAAUGGAGGUGUCAAGCUCUCAGUAACACGUUUAGAUGCUACUAAUGAGUUUACCAAUAAACAUACAAUUGAUAUUGAAAACCUUGUCCACAACCACAUCAACAAAGACCUUAUCCAGAAACUAAGAGGAUUAAGGAUGGCUUUAGUCAUUGAGCUGGGCCUUGUUGUAUGUAUUUUUGUUUUCUGUGUUGCUCGGCGCCGAACUAGAACACGCAGGAGACAACAUAUUUUGAAACGUUAGCUGAGCAGUAGUUACUACAGAAACAGUUGAUCGAUGCUCAUUUGCAAAUAUUAAAGCUUAGGAGGAUGGUGGAGAAUUGGAGAUGGAAUGAACGGCUCUGCACCUUUUUUGCCAGAAAGACGGAGACGCGAGAAGAACAAAAAAAUGCGUGGAAAAUAUCAUAUGACUAUCACACACUGGGCCGUAAGCCCACAAAAUAUGACACGUGGGCCAAAAGCAUUGCCACUCCCGGCCCUCUAGGGUUUUGCACCUCUCUCUCCGCCCUCUUCACUCACUCACCUCAGCAGUCAGCACUUACAAAUUCCCUGAUCCAAAACCUCCGCCGUGGCCGCUAUCUCGGAGCAACGCAAGCAAUUCCACACGCGGACACGCCUCCUCACCCGCCCAGCGACCACUGCCGCAUCUCCGGCGAAGAUGGUCGCCGUCAGGUUCAGGGUGAGGUCCACCUCGCUCCAUUCGCCCUUGCUUGUGCUUCGUAUCAGUCGUGGGCGUGGGCGUGCAGUGCAGUCCCACCAGCACCAGGUGCCAGGUGGAGGGGAGGGGUCAUGCGAAUCUGCGAUGAGCACCCUAAGAUCUGCCGCAUGAAGCUUUGAGCCACCAACGAAGUCCGCGCCAAGGCUAUGUUCUGUGCAGAUACUUUCUCCGCAGAUGAAGAAUAGCAACUAUCAGAUCCUCGACAUCAAUGAGAUCUUUGAAGGGAACCUCACCUCCUCACCUCUGGUUGUGUAAUCAAAACAGGACUGGCUGCCACAACAUGUACAAGAAGUAACUCACCUUCAGUGGUGACGGCUUCAUGCCAGUGUCAGGUCCUUUGCAUUUAGAUCAUCAAGACUGCAAUAGUCCACUUCAAGCUGUUCAAAGCAGUGCAAGCGUGAAAACUCUAAGCAGUUCCACAUGAAGAACGUCAGGUUCUCUCUGGUGUACUGCAACCGACCACCUGCCAGGAAGCUGAAGGCCAUCUUGUUUAUGUGAUCUGACUCAUCCUUCCUAAUCUGUAUGCCCACAUAGUUUGGGGGAUGAGGAUUACUAGUUUAUGUUUAUUAUAUCUAUAUUUACCCCCCCCCCCCCCCCCUAAAUUCUAGUUGUAGGUCCAUGCAGCCUUUUUAUCUGGAUGAAAAUCCUCUAUUCUUUUCCCUCUCAUGAUAUCUGCUCUCUUAUAAUGGAAUAGUUAAAAUUCCUCCUGGUUUUGGUUUACUUAAAUAUCCAAAUUUGUGUUAUUUAUUUGCAUAUUUAUGAUGACCUACUGGGGUCAGUCUGUCUAGUUGUCCAGUCUGUAGGAAACUAGCAACAUGAUCUGAUCGAAUUAGUUUUUACAACAUCCCUGUCAUUGCUAUUUGUUACUUUAACUGAAUGCUUGUCUUAUUGAGAGUACAUUUUCUAUGCUGAUAAGUUGUGGUAUUGCUUCGUAUAUCAGUGGGUAUUGCUUCGUAUAUCAGUGUCAAGCUGUAAUGUUUCAGUGUUCUUCAACAUGUUUCUUGAGGUUACUUAGGAGGGCAACUUUGCCGAGGUUACCAACAACAAAUUUGGUUUCCUUUUUUUCCCUGUUGCCAAUAUCAAUGUUCCUCCUGGAUGUUUCAGCUUAAUCCAUUAACCAUUUGGUUUUAUGGAUGAGCAUCCUUGCCAACAAUGUCUAGUUAUAGAGCAUUAUUUUUCCCACCUUUGAAAUUUGUAGUCCUGUCAAUUUGCAUUCAACUUUCAGCUAGUGUUUGUGUCCCUGCAUAAUCUCAUGUCCCUGUGCCAUGUCAGUUCCUGGUUUGCUGUAACAUGUUGCUGUUAUUUUAUUUUCCGGUAUGGGUACAAUUGAGUGCUACCAUUCUGCUUAUCUUUUGAGCAAAGUAUCUGUUAAUAUUUGUUCCUUGUGCACCUGAAGUGUCAACUCAUUUUUAUUGAUGCGGCAUCUUAUCAUUGUGAUUUUUGGGAGGCAACUUUACCGAGGUUACCAAGACAGUUUGGUUUGCCUAUAUCAUCCGUUGCCAGGUUGCUUGCUCGCAUUGACCUUGGUUUUAUGGUCGGCUUCCUGGCAAACACUUUUUUUAAUUAUAUUUACAGAUUUUGGUUUUGACUCUUGCACUGCAGAUUUGUCUAUUGGGAUCCUGAUUGGUGUUAAAGUUUUUCCUUUUUUCUUGAAUGCUACUACACCGUUGGAGCAUGUUGCUGCGAAGCAAAUGAUGACUGCAAUGCCCCUGGUUGGUGUUACAGUUCCUUUUUCUGAAGGCCACUACACUUAAGUAACACUGUAGGAAUGUAGGUUGCGGGCUUACAGCAAAGCAGAUGAUUACUGCAAUGUUCCAACAGUUGUUGCUUUGUGCAUGAUAUUGGAAUAUUGGAUAUGCUUGUGAUGCA